rnacentral:sRNA from 1 species
CUUGGUCAUUUAGAGGAAGUAAAAGUCGUAACAAGGUUUCCGUAGGUGAACCUGCGGAAGGAUCAUUAAAGAAUACCGGCUUCGCAGCCAAUAUUCUCGCCCUCUGUAUACCAAACUUUGUUGCUUUGGCAGGCCCCUGGCUUCAGCUGGACUGUGCCUGCCAGAGGACCCCUAACUCUUGAAUGCCUGCUGUCUGAGUACUAUCUAAAUAGUUAAAACUUUCAACAACGGAUCUCUUGGUUCUGGCAUCGAUGAAGAACGCAGCGAAAUGCGAUAAGUAAUGUGAAUUGCAGAAUUCAGUGAAUCAUCGAAUCUUUGAACGCACAUUGCGCCCGCUGGUAUUCCGGCGGGCAUGCCUGUUCGAGCGUCAUUAUGACCAAUCAAGCUCUGCUUGGCUUUGGGGCCCGCUGUACCGGCGGCCCUUAAAAUCAGUGGCGGUGCCGUCUGGCUCUAAGCGUAGUAAUACUUUUCGCUAUAGGGUUUAGUCGUUCACCCGCCAGAACCCCCCAACUUUCUUAGGUUGACCUCGGAUCAGGUAGGGAUACCCGCUGAACUUAAGCAUAUCAAUAAGCGGAGGAA